CUAUUGCUCUGUGAGCACACACAUAAACACCUGCCACUGCUUUUGUGAACUCUCUCACUGUCUACUUGUAUCCUGCAAUUGCACUGUUAUUUACCCUCUUUACCCCAUUGAACUUUAUGAGAAAGACUUACAUCAUCACUACCUAUUCUUUCCCUGUAGAUGAUCAAUUCACUAGCAAUUUCUCUUAAUCUUUUCACAGUGCACCGUGCAUGCACUCCCACUUGUCUAUAUUAACAGUGAUAUUUACCAGAAGUGGGACUUUCCGUUCUUUGUGACAUUUAAAGGAACUGCCCCUUAGAUUAUGUCAUACUGACGCUUAGCAGUGC